AGGAGACCCCCUACCGCAUCCAUGUCCAUGGUUCAAGGACCUCAUAUUGUAUUAAAUCAGUCAUCCCAACAUCCAAAUCUCCGAAUCUGCAGUUAAUCUCAUGAAACAAUCAGUCUCACAAAACACCACAGCCGCUUAUAAUACAGAGUGGCAGUCUUACACCAAAUAUUGCUCCGUCACAUUCAUGCCUUACUUCCGAAUCUUCCAUCAUAGAAUUCAUUACUUAUUGCUUUUUAAAACGCAAUCUCUCCCUUUCCACCAUACGCCAAUACUUGUCAGGACUACAGUUUCACUCUCGUUUGCUCGGAAUCACUAUCCCUCCCCCAUCUCAUCUUCCUUGGAUACAAAUGCUGCUCCGUGGGAUUCAACAAACUGCUUCCAAACCUUCAUCUUCCAAGUUGCCUCUCACAAAGGAAGUCCUGGAAUCCAUGAUCAACACUCUACACUCAGGCUGCUUUUCUCCUUACAAAGAUGCCCUCCUGGAAGCAAUGUUCAUCUCGGCCUUCUGUGGAUGACAUGCCUGAACCAGUCAUUCGACCCAUCCUCGGACCUCUGCAUAGGAGAUCUCCAUCGUCAAUCCCAGGUCAUGUACUCUUACUUUUAAAACAUUCAAAAUCAGACCGAGAAAAGAAAGGCGUGCAUGUUUAUUUAACAAAAACACAUUGUAUUAUUUGUCCUGUUUCUGCUCUUUUCAGCUAUCUGUCACUGCGUCCGAUGGCCAGCAACCAGGAUCCCCUGUUUCUCACCCCGGAAGGGAUAGUCGUGUCCAGGAACUGGUUCUGUGACCACCUUCAUUGGUGUCUCCUUCGCGCUGGGCUUCCUUCUGUAAAUGGUUUCAUAUUUCUUAUAGUGGUGAGCAAGCCAGGAGCGAGAAAUAAGUCCCGAGAUGACCUGCUGCUCUUACCACUUCUGACGAGGGGGGUUGCAGUUGUAAGACAGGCCACUUGGUAAAGUGAUGUCAUCUGUGUACAACUGGAUUUCUACUUCUGAAAAUACUUUUAAGGCAGUGUGACAGAGACAAAAUGAUUCUUGGUGAUGCAUCUCCCUCCCGACCUGUGAGGGCGCUGUGUAAAGGGAACAGAGUGCCCUGGACUGGAUGGCCACACAAUUAAUUCCCAGGAUUAGGCAGAGGCAAAUGUCAUUGCACAGCUCCCUUCGCCGCAACUGCCCAACCGCAUUUCACCUAAGCAGCUGUGAACCCACAUUGUACCUGCUCACCCGGCAAAGAACUCUAUUCUGAAAAAGCUUGUGCUGCAGAACGAAAAACAACAGAGAAGCAUUAACAGCCUGAAGUGGCAAAUUGUACAUCUGCACGAAGCAGUCGGAUCUGUUACCAAACUUGUGAGAAUACCUUACGCAUGCAGAGUCACUAUGAGAAUGAACCACUGGAGAGUACACAGAUGUGCGAAGCAAUACCUGAAGAGUGUGUUGCAUACUCUGGGCAUGACAGUACUUUCUUGCAAGAGGACUCAAUGCAUUUCACCCAAGAUCCCAUUGUGCAAAACCAGGUACUAUGCAGUACCACUGUUCUGCCAGACAUUGUAAUCAACAGCAUUAGCCUAGAAAAGGAAGUGGAAAUCCAUGUCUUGAGCCGAGGAAGAGUGGAAAGAUCUGCUGCAUUGUUGUUCAGGGCGUUCGUUCAUUACAACUGAACGGUAUCACGAGUGGUCAAGCAAUGUAGAGGCAAAAAAAGGGCUGCCUGCGAACCUGAAGCACAUUCUAUGGGGGUACGGGCAGGCGGUUCAGAGUGGAACCACAGCACAAUAAACUUGUAAGGGGAUCAAAUAAACGAACUAAUUUUGCUAACGUUAAAAUUAGCGCAUAUAAUGCAUGAUGGAAAAAAAUGUAAAACUAUAAUAAAAUAAACUUUUCAAAAGAAGAUUUUGUGCAAACUGCUAUAUGUACAUACAAAAUUGUGAAAACUAAUUCAUUAUUUACAAAAAUAACAUAAAAGGCUUUUUUUUCACAUUAGCCUACUGCAUAGCACGACUUCAAAAAAUGAAAAAAAACUAUAAUAAAAUACACAUUUCAAAAUAAAAUAUUGUGUAACCAGCUGUAAACUGGUUAUAUGUAGGCCUACACACAGAAUUUUAAAAUCAAAAUAAUUAUUUAUAAAAAACAAAAUAACUCCGUUCACAUUGUGUAACGGGAAUGCACAUUCAGGGAAACAUACUUCAAAGUAGCCCCCAUAUUAGCACAAUCCACACAGAUUACGCUUAUCAGCUUGUCGUGUGCAUUUAGCACAUACUGCUUUUUCACACUGGGCACAGAUAUCAGACAUUAUAUUUUUAUUGCAUUUAGUUACCUUGCAUUGUUUUCUGUUGCGUGUGUCACUUGACACUCUUUCCCUGGUGCAUUCAUUGUACAAAACAAAGGAAUUGAUGGCUGCCAUGUCCAGUACAUUGUGAAAUACAGCACCUGGACACCGGUGAUUUGCUUUCACUGAGUAAUAAGUUUUGUGCAGAUGGUGGAAACUCUCUUUUCGCUUUGUUUACUGUUCCAACCAGGCCGUGUUUUGCUAAUUACAGUGAAAUAAAAAAAAAAAUGCCAUUGGUAAGAUUCAUCUCUUUUCCUAAGCACGGUUACAUCAGCCUAACACAUUGUCACCCAGUCUCUGACCAGCUGGGCGAGUUUCAUCUUUGCACAGGUAGGGGUAGGGUCCGUUGCCAACCAAAACUUGAUCCCAAAUUCGACAGGUUUGUUUGACAUGCAUUGUGUCCAGCGACACCGUGCUUUUGACAGCUGCUUGUCCAUGUAUUGUUUUAUGUUUAGCUUGAAACAGGCAAUGCUGUUUUCAAUGAAGUCGUUCCAAAUUUCUGCUGCCAAUGCAAAUAUAUCUGUAGAUGCUCUCAAAUCAAAACGCAAAAAUCUCAAGAUUUCUCAAAAAAAUGAUUGUAAUAGUAACAUUAUAAGACAGCAGACUAUAUAUGCUCACGUAGACAACCAGACAGCAGUUAUACAAGGAAUUGAUAGGAUUACGAUAACACGAUAGAUAUUUAGAUAACACAUAUCUAGACUUCAAGAGCAAUAUUUUAUUCAAAUUCAUACUGCUAUAAACUCAGCAGGGGUACAGAUAACAAACUGGCUUGUAUACAUAUAAAAAAUAGCGUAUUGUAGGUUAUAUUGACAAUGAAAGCAUGUAUUGUAACAAGCCAUCAAAAUGACUACUUUUGGCGGUUCUAGGUAGAAGUGCUCAUAACAUUUUUUUAUUUUUGCGAUUCUGACUUUCAAACGCCGUCAGUAUAUUUAAUACGUGUAUUUAGGAAAAGUCAAGAACAGACCACCGCAGAUCUUUAACACACGCAGAAUAAUUUAAAUUUUAAAAGUGAAAACCAUAAAAAUGACUACUGUGGUGGUUCCAGUGUUAAACACUGUGGUGUUUAUUGUGUAAAAACUUAAAGCAUUUGUUUUUGUAUGCAAUUUAUUCAAAUAAACAUUGUAUUCACAGUACAUUCUUUAUGUGUAUUUAUUCGGUUUACAAAAUAAUCCUCACACACCCAAACGUAAAGCAGAACACAUUUCUUAACACCUCUCCCCACAACACAUCUGCCUCCACCCAUUCGACAGCAUGUGAAUCACUUAAAUUCCCUUCUCCCAGUGUGAAGAUUUAUUUUUGGUGAUUACUGGCGCACAUCCACAACAGCGAAAUAUCAAAAGAAAACAACACAAUGACAAAUUAAUCCUGUGUAAAAAAUCUAAAUCAAAACAAGAAACAGAUAUCUUCACAAUCUCUUAAAUAAACAAAACUAGAUUAUUUUUUUAGAACAUUUUCUUUUACACAAAAUAAAACGUGUUGUAAACAUGUAGAAAAAAAAAUACUCUCUGUAGCCCACAUUAAAAAGAAACACUACUGAAAUCUGUUUAUGCCGCAAGCUGGAACAGCACAAAACAUAUAUAGGCUUAUAUUGUAUUAAAAAAUAAUAUUCAACACAAACUAUACCGCAAAUGAAUAGGAAUCUCAGAGCUGAUUUCAGGAAUGUGCCAAUUUAAAGCAAACGGGCAAUAUAGCCUAUAACCUAUCAGAAGAUUAAAAAAGAAAUCUUGCAGUGUCACAAGGGAAUUCAGUGAUAGUUUCUAAAGAAAACGGCAGGCAUUUUUAUUAAAGUGCAUGUGUUUAUUUGAUUUGUCAAAUUCUUGUUCUUAAAAAGCUCCACAUGGGGUUUGUGUUUGUGUGUGCAGGAGUGGGAACGCAGCGUUUAGAGCUUGGAAUGACGAGUACGAGAGAGUGAAAUAGACCAGUAAAUGGAGCAUCCCGACUCAGUACUGGGCUGAUAUGCCAGUGUUGAAUAAUGAACGUGAGUGGCUUGAGUGAUUUUAGCCUGGCGAUAGCCGACCAGGAAUUUAGGAAGUGAAACAGAAUAGGCUAUACUGUGAUGCUGGUUUCUCUCUCUCUGUCUAUAUCUCUAUGUUCUCUCCCCUGCACUGACAUUGUGUGUGUGUGUGUGUGUGUGUGGAUUUUUGUAUAGACCACGAUAUUUUGUUUUUUUGUAUUAUGACAGUUUAACUGUGUCCUUAAAAAUGCACAUUCCCUCUAUUCGCUGGGUAGCAGCGUUGUUGCACUUUAAUACAUGACCUCAUUAAUAUGAACCUUGUUUAACCGUUCAAAAUCUCAUUACCUGCAUGUGGAUAGAAUGAUUGUCUCUUAAACAAGUACCUUGUAAACAAUGUGUGGCUACUUCAGAAUUUUACAAUAAACAAAUGUCUUUUAA